GAUGAAGAACGUAGCGAAAUGCGAUAAGUAAUGUGAAUUGCAGAAUUCAGUGAAUCAUCGAAUCUUUGAACGCACAUUGCGCCCUCUGGUAUUCCGGGGGGCAUGCCUGUUCGAGCGUCAUUUCAACCCUCAAGCUCUGCUUGGUCUUGGGCCUGGCCGUGAUGGCCGGUCUUAAAAUCAGUGGCGGUGCCGUCGCAGGCUCCAAGCGUAGUACAUCUCUCGCUCUGGAAACUUGGCGGUGCCUGCCAGACAACCCCUAAUUGUCUCUUUCGGUUGACCUCGGAUCAGGUAGGGAUACCCGCUGAACUUAAGCAUAUCAAUAAGCGGAGGA
rnacentral:misc_RNA from 1 species